AAGAUGUCAUUUAAGCGGACGCUGUAUCGGCGGCGAGGUAGAUUUUUCCAGGAAAGUUUCCUUUAAAAAUAAGUGAAAUUCCCCUCCAGAAAUUUACAAGCUUUGAAACUGCAUGUUUCCGUACUUCUGAAACAGGUAACAAUGUAAAAGGUAUAACAACAACGAUGCAGAAGGUCAUAGCGGCUACUACAUUCUGAGCUCAUCAUCUACAUCCUCAAUGGUAAAACCUUUGUGAAGAAUGCUGAAAUCCACGCCUCUUACCUUUUCAAAGCAGAUGCCUAUUAGAAAGGCAACAGCUCAUGUGAUAAAGCAGGGAAAGUUUAACAAGCUGAAGAUUUUGAAUCCAUAAAAAAAUGUAAGGUUUUGGAGUGUAUCCUUGUUUCACUUUGAAAGUUUUAUUUA